GACGUAGGGACCGAGCGUUGUCCGGAUUCAUUGGGCGUAAAGAGCUCGUAGGCGGCUGCUCAAGUCGAAUGUGAAAACUCGAGGCUCAACCUCGAGCCUGCAUUCGAUACUGGGCGGCUAGAGUCUGGUAGGGGGAUCUGGAAUUCCUGGUGUAGCGGUGAAAUGCGCAGAUAUCAGGAGGAACACCGGUGGCGAAGGCGGGUCUCUGGGCCGAUACUGACGCUGAGGAGCGAAAGCGUGGGGAGCAAACAGG
rnacentral:rRNA from 1 species